AGAGCGAACGCUGGCGGCAGGCCUAACACAUGCAAGUCGAGCGCCCGUAGCAAUACGGGAGCGGCAGACGGGAUAGUAACACGUGGGAACGCGCCCUUCGGUUCGGAAUAACUCAGGGAAACUUGAGCUAAUACCGAAUACGCCCUUACGGGGAAAGAUUUAUUGCCGAAGGAACGGCCCGCGUCCGAUUAGCUAGUUGGUGAGGUAAUGGCUCACCAAGGCUACGAUCGGUAGCUGGUCUGAGAGGAUGACCAGCAUCACUGGGACUGAGACACGGCCCAGACUCCUACGGGAGGCAGCAGUGGGGAAUAUUGGACAAUGGGCGAAAGCCUGAUCCAGCCAUGCCGCGUGGAUGAUGAAGGCCUUAGGGUUGUAAAGUCCUUUUAACGGGGAAGAUAAUGACGGUACCCGUAGAACUAAGCCCCGGCUAACUUCGUGCCAGCAGCCGC
rnacentral:rRNA from 1 species